rnacentral:rRNA from 1 species
AAAGGAAUUGACGGGGACCCGCACAAGCAGUGGAACAUGUGGUUUAAUUCGAUAGUCCACGAAGAACCUUACCAACUCUUGACAUCCCGAUCGCGGGCUCAGAGAUGAGUCUUUCAGUUCGGCUGGAUCGGAGACAGGUGAUGCAUGGCCGUCGUCAGCUCGUGCCGUGAGGUGUUAGGUUAAGUCCUUUAACGAGCGCAACCCCCGUCCUUAUUUGCCAACAGGUAAUGCUGGGAACUAUAAGGAGACCGCUAGCGACAAGCUAGAGGAAGGUGGGGAUGAUGUCAGGUCAUCACGUCCCUUAUGAGUUGGGCUACACAUGUGUUACAAUGGGAACUACAAAAAGUCGCAAUGGGGUGACCCUGAGCUAAUCUCUAAAAGUUCUCUCAGUUCAGAUUGCAGACUGCAACUCGUCUGCAUGAAGUUGGAAUUGCUAGUAAUCGUAGAUCAGCACGCUACGGUGAAUACGUUCUCGGGUCUUGUACACACCGCCCGU